GGGAAGUGCUGGGUCCUGCUUGGGAUGGCUCAUCCUCAGACUUCCUCUCUGCUGGGACCUUCUCAGUCACAUGCCCUGAUAUCCGCCUGAAAAAUCCCUGUUGUCUCUAUGGAUUUUACUUUAUCCUCAUCAUCUACUUUUAUUCUUUCUCAUAGGACAAAGAUAAAAGAAAGACAAAGCAGUUACUCAUUGUUCCUAAGAGAAGUCACAUCAAGCCCUGUAUGUCCUGUUAGACAACAAAGGAGCAGGCGAUGCCUUAAAAACCACUGAGAACUUUGUGCACCCAGACUAGGGCUCACUGUAGGGCUAAGCCUCUGCCUAUGGACCCUGCUCAGAUGAGCUCAUAAAACUAUAACUGGCGCCGCAACAGCCCGUGACUUCCAUCCCUGAGGAAAGCAGUAAAUGGAGUCAGAACGUUUCGCUUGGAUGCAAUCCAUGAUUGGUGUGGGUCUGCUCCUGGUCCCAUCGAGAUUAUUUUGGGUCAGAGUGCAGAAUGUAGAGCACACUGCAAAGGGAAAACCACACCAUGUCCCGAGCUGCACCACCUCCACCUACCUUACCAACAGAGUGAAGAACAAGAAAAAAGAAAACAUGACUAAGACAGCCCAAUCCUUUGUCAGUCUCUUGGUGAAACAACUGUCAUACUGAAUUUUGGGGAGCAGCCAGAACAAGAGAGGAGAGAGUCGUACUUGAUUUUGGAAACAUGACUGUGAGCCCCUGAGCCUGGGCUUCCAGAACUGCAUAGCACACACGGCCGCCACUGAAGAACACCACAUUGGCAGAACCAAUGGUAUCAGCCAGGCCCAGGACCCCCAGAACCUGGUCCCUAGGACAGCAGAGCAAUCAAGGGAAGGGAUUCCGCUGCAACCCAGCAGCUGGUCACAAAUUGAAAGUGGAGCAAGCAGCACAAUCAAAGGAAAAGUAGCUUCCAGAUCUCUCUGCCAGGACUGAGGUCGCCCACGGAAAACCCUGGAGGAGGAGAGACUGAGGGAGGAGGGCACAUGGAGGGCGGAAGCGAGGCAUCUCAGGACCUACUGCAGGUCCCCAAGUCCAGUCCCAGUGAUGACGCUGCCUCACUCUCCUUCAGCUUUUUGGGGAUACCACGUACAUCGCCCUUCUGGGCCCCAGGGUCAAGCUGAUGCUGCGUCUACGGAGCUGUGUUUCCGCGCAGCAUGUGGGCCUUCCAAACCUCGUCGGACUGCUCAGCCUUGUUCCUUACCCUCCCCCACCCGAGCGGGCAAAUUAGCGAAAGUGAAGCAAACAGGACGGCAAUGUUCUCUCAGGUCCCUUCCAGAACCAAAACCCCAGAAUCUGAGUGCCAAGGAAAUUGCUCUACCAGAGCAGGGUUCCUCAUCACCCCAGCCCUGGAAUCUGGCUCUGCCAAGAUCCAGAUGAGGCCACCUGGGUGUUCAGCGCUCUCCUCCACCGGCCUCGCUUAUGGGCCCUCGGCAAGGUGAGCUCCACAUGCGUGGCCAGCCCCACUGGUCGGAGGCCAAGCCUGGGAGGUUUCUGAACGCGC
rnacentral:lncRNA from 1 species